GGGUUAGCUCAGUCAGUUGAGCAUGGUGCUAAAAACGCCAAGGUCAUGGGUUCAAUUCCUGUUCGAUCCC
rnacentral:tRNA from 1 species